rnacentral:rRNA from 1 species
CCUACGGGGGGCAGCAGUAGGGAAUCUUUCACAAUGGGCGAAAGCCUGAUGGAGCAACGCCGCGUGCAGGAUGAAGGCCUUCGGGUUGUAAACUGCUUUUAUAAGCGAGAAAUAUGAUGGUAACUUAUGAAUAAGGAUCGGCUAACUACGUGCCAGCAGCCGCGGUCAUACGUAGGAUCCGAGCAUUAUCCGGAGUGACUGGGUGUAAAGAGUUGCGUAGGUGGCAUAAUAAGUAGCUAGUGAAAUCUGGUGGCUCAACCAUUCAGACUAUUAGCUAAACUGUUAAGCUCGAGACCGUUAGGGGUAACUGGAAUUUCUAGUGUAGGAGUGAAAUCCGUAGAUAUUAGAAGGAACACCAAUAGCGUAGGCAGGUUGCUGGGACGGUUCUGACACUAAGGCACGAAAGCGUAGGGAGCAAACGGGAUUAGAUACCCCAGUAGGC